CCUACGGGAGGCAGCAGUAAGGAAUAUUGGUCAAUGGACGCAAGUCUGAACCAGCCAUGCCGCGUGGAGGAUGAAGGUCCUCUGGAUUGUAAACUUCUUUUCUCUGGGACGAAACCCCCGAUUUCUAUCGGGCCUGACGGUACCAGAGGAAUAAGCACCGGCUAACUCCGUGCCAGCAGCCGCGGUAAUACGGAGGGUGCAAGCGUUAUCCGGAUUUACUGGGUUUAAAGGGAGCGUAGGCGGGCAGUUAAGUCAGUGGUGAAAUCUCUGGGCUUAACCCGGAAACUGCCAUUGAUACUAUCUGUCUUGAAUAUUCUGGAGGUAAGCGGAAUAUGUCAUGUAGCGGUGAAAUGCUUAGAUAUGACAUAGAACACCCAUUGCGAAGGCAGCUUACUACGGGAUUAUUGACGCUGAGGCUCGAAAGCGUGGGGAUCAAACAGGAUUAGAUACCCUGGUAGUCCACGCCCUAAACGAUGAUUACUCGACAUUAGCGAUAUUACAGUUAGUGUCUAAGCGAAAGCAUUAAGUAAUCCACCUGGGAAGUACGACCGCAAGGUUGAAACUCAAAGGAAUUGACGG
rnacentral:rRNA from 1 species